rnacentral:rRNA from 1 species
GUCUGGGGAAUGGCUCGGUUCGGGCGCCGAAGAAGGUCGUGCCAAGCUGCGAUAAGCGCCGGGUAAGCGCAAGGAGCUAUUGAUCCGGCGAUGACCGAAUGGGACUUCCUGCUCUUUGGAGCAAUCCGUGAGGAUAGGGAACCGGGGGGAUUGAAGCAUCUUAGUACCCCGAGGAAAAGAAAUCAACCGAGAUGCCGUUAUUAAAGGCGAUCGAACGCGGCAUAGGGCAAACUGAAUCCUGCCUAGAAAUAGGCCGGAGAUGUGGUGUUGUAGGCCCCGGGUACAUCUUAACCAGUCAACUCGAAGUCUCCUGGAAUGGAGCGCCGUAGAGGGUAACAGCCCUGUAGAGAUAAGCUGGAAAGAUGAUUCCGGGUGUCCUUGAGUAGUGCGCAUUGGAUAUUGCGCGUGAAUCUGGGAGCCACUGGCUUCCAACCCUAAAUACGACCCGAGACCGAUAGUGCAGUAGUAGCGUGAGCGAAAGCUGAAAAGUACCCUUAACGGGAGGUGCAAAGAGCCUGAAACCAGAUAGUGACAGUAAUAUACGGCAUGCAAGGGACGAAACUCGCAAGAGUGGACCGAUGUCGUAUUAUCCGUUUCGAAUAACGGGCCAGGGAGUUCGGAUCGAUGGCGAGGCUAAUUGGAUAAUCCAAGCAGCCGAAGGGAAACCGACAAGUCCGCAACCCGCAAGGGCCAGGGACGAGGUGGGCUCGCCUGUAGUCAUCGGUGAGAGACCCGAAGCCAGUUGAUCUAGGCGUGGAUAGGUUGAAGCCCAGGGAAACCUGGGUGGAGGACCGAACCCGUGUUGAGGUGCAAAUCACUGGGAUGAUCUGCGUCUAGGGGUGAAAGGCCAAUCUAA